GAUGAACGCUGGCGGCGUGCCUAAUACAUGCAAGUCGAGCGAACAGACGAGGAGCUUGCUCCUCUGACGUUAGCGGCGGACGGGUGAGUAACACGUGGAUAACCUACCUAUAAGACUGGGAUAACUUCGGGAAACCGGAGCUAAUACCGGAUAAUAUAUUGAACCGCAUGGUUCAAUAGUGAAAGACGGUUUUGCUGUCACUUAUAGAUGGAUCCGCGCCGCAUUAGCUAGUUGGUAAGGUAACGGCUUACCAAGGCAACGAUGCGUAGCCGACCGGAGAGGGUGGUCGGCCACACUGGAACGUAGACACGGUCCAGACUCCUACGGGAGGCAGCAGUAGGGAAUCUUCCGCAAUGGGCGAGAGCUUGACGGAGCAACGCCGCGUGAGUUAUGAAGGUCUUCGGAUCGUAAAACUCUGUUAUUAGGGAAGAACAAAUGUGUAAGUAGCUAUGCACGUCUUGACGGUACCUAAUCAGAAAGCCACGGCUAACUACGUG
rnacentral:rRNA from 1 species